GACGAACGCUGGCGGCGUGCUUAACACAUGCAAGUCGAGCGGUAAGGCCCUUUCGGGGGUACGACGAGCGGCGAACGGGUGAGUAACACGUGGGUGACCUGCCCUUACGCUCUGGGAUAAGCCUGGGAAACGUGGGUCUAAUACCGGAUAUGACUCCAUGACGCAUGUUGUGGGGUGGAAAGCCUUGUGCGGCUAGGGAUGGGCCCGCGGCCUAUCAGCUUGUUGGUGGGGUGAUGGCCUACCAAGGCGACGACGGGUAGCCGGCCUGAGAGGGCGACCGGCCACACUGGGACUGAGACACGGCCCAGACUCCUACGGGAGGCAGCAGUGGGGAAUCUUGCGCAAUGGGCGAAAGCCUGACGCAGCGACGCCGCGUGGGGA
rnacentral:rRNA from 1 species